AAACUCACCGCCGGAUAAACAUGUAGAUGUUUGCGUGGAUAGCGACGAGGACAGGGGUUCGACUCCCCUCGCCUCCACAU
rnacentral:tmRNA from 1 species